UUGUAUGGUCGGGCGUGGUGGGCCGCGAAAGCGGGCCGUUGCCUUAGGCGGUAGUCUCAACCUGCCACGUCCGGCCGCCAUA
rnacentral:antisense_RNA from 1 species